UACGUAGGGGGCGAGCGUUGUCCGGAUUUAUUGGGCGUAAAGAGCGUGUAGGCGGCCUGUCAAGUCCGACGUGAAAUCUUACGGCUUAACCGUGAAAUUGCAUUGGAAACUGGCAGGCUAGAGUCUGGAUGAGGAAGAUGGAAUUCCUGGUGUAGCGGUGAAAUGCGCAGAUAUCAGGAGGAACACCGGUGGCGAAGGCGGUCUUCUAGGACAGUACUGACGCUGAGACGCGAAAGCGUGGGGAGCAAACAGG
rnacentral:rRNA from 1 species